rnacentral:ncRNA from 1 species
CAAAACACGUUGAAGAGACGAGUAGAAUGUGAAAGGUUACAGAGAGAGAAGCCUUGUGCUGGAAGCUUCUUAUCACGGAAACAUUUGAAGACUACCUCUGAGUGGCAGCAAAACUGUCCGGUGAUUCCGUUAUCAUCACAAUGAAGUGGUUCUGACGUAUUGUCAGCUCAAGUAGGGUGGAACCGCGAGCUAUGAGUAGACUCGUCCCUUUC